AUAGGUGCCCGUACCGCAAACCGACACAGGUAGUCAAGAUGAGAAUUCUAAGGUGAGCGAGCGAACUCUCGUUAAGGAACUCGGCAAAAUGACCCCGUAACUUCGGGAGAAGGGGUGCUCUUUAGGGUUAACGCCCAGAAGAGCCGCAGUGAAUAGGCCCAAGCGACUGUUUAUCAAAAACACAGGUCUCUGCUAAACCGUAAGGUGAUGUAUAGGGGCUGACGCCUGCCCGGUGCUGGAAGGUUAAGAGGAGUGGUUAGCUUCUGCGAAGCUACGAAUCGAAGCCCCAGUAAACGGCGGCCGUAACUAUAACGGUCCUAAGGUAGCGAAAUUCCUUGUCGGGUAAGUUCCGACCCGCACGAAAGGCGUAACGAUUUGGGCACUGUCUCAACGAGAGACUCGGUGAAAUCAUAGUACCUGUGAAGAUGCAGGUUACCCGCGACAGGACGGAAAGACCCCGUGGAGCUUUACUGUAGCCUGAUAUUGAAAUUCGGCACAGCUUGUACAGGAUAGGUAGGAGCCUUUGAAACGUGAGCGCUAGCUUACGUGGAGGCGCUGGUGGGAUACUACCCUA
rnacentral:rRNA from 1 species